UACGACUGCUCACAUCCAUACGUCCUGAUUUGUUAGAUGUCGUCGCCAGAAGCGGUAGGCGUUAAAGAUUACCCAAUUAAGAAGAAUUAGGGUGGUCUUAAAAGGAAUCCAGAAGAAGAAGAGGUGGAGCCAGAAAUCAGAAAUGGGUCCAGAGUUCAGUUGGAACGAUGGAAAGAGUCGGUUAACUACUCACUUCUGGACACAUAACUUGUGUCGGUUUAAACUCUGUUUAUCCUGUGUCAUUAAGACUUGUGUGAUAGGAAAGUGAGAUUGUGUGUGUACCAACAGACAUAUUAAUUGAAUAUUGCUGAAAAGCAGGGCGCAUAGUGAUUAGUGCUAUAACAACGGAACCAACAAACAACGAAAUUUCGAAGGCACAAACAUUCUACAAUUGAAGGAAAGAAUUACUGAGUUCAAUAACUCGAAGGACGAAGAAAAGGGAAAGUCAUCGAAGCAUAAAGAACUAUAUCUCCUAGACUGGGCACCCGCCUAGACUCAACAACUUCAUAAAAGAGAAGAGGGCGAACGAAAUCAAGUGGAAGUAACCUACUUCGCCCAGCGGCGAAAUGCAGUGAGAAGCUACGAAGAUUAGUGGACGUCCGUAAUGAUAUAGUCGUUGCAGAAUUCCGCAAUCCCCAAGCCAACUCGACAGUUCAUACUAGCGGAAAAACAGGAACUUCAAAUUCAGCACAGCGGAGCUUCAUAACAAACCAUUGACUGAAUUCUUCAAUCAACAUAAGAGCACUAACCAUCGUUACGGCAGAGAUAGUGCCCAAUUCCCUAACAGCACCAACAGUCAUCACGAAAGAGAACGACGGUGACAGCAGCGAAAAAUUCGCAGGGCAGCGCAGAAGUGUUUGGCACAACCAGAAACCGAAGAAAGAAGAAAAAGUUUGAAAUUGAAGGAAGAAAACUUUAGAUGUAAUCAUAUGAGAAAAUUAUAUAGGCAAGAUAGGGACUACAUAGUACAAUCAGACUUCUGCCAACAUGAAGAUAAUUAAAAGAAAAGUAAAUGCAAAUAUGAGCUCAGUCACUGCCAGAGGAGACUUGAUUACCCUUCUUAAGAAGUCCUGAUCAACUGGACCAUUCAAACUGAAAAGAACUUACGGUUCUGGAAAGCCCUGCUCUCCCUCCCAAUCCAAUCCUCU